CUAUGUCGUAUAGUAAUAAAGUAAUCAAACUGCAAUAAGUUCCUUGCAGGACUAAGACUGCCUCCACUCGCUCUCUAUCAGACAGUCACUAGAGGCGCUUCUGGGAUUCUAGGGGACUCAGAUUGGCGCUGGAAUCAGGUAAGGUUUUUUGUUUGUUUUUUAAACCCUUUGAGGGAGGGAUGAGAUCAGAGGGCACUAUAGUGUUAGGAUUACGGAUGUAUUCCUAACACGAUCGAAUCCUUUUAAAGUAAGGGGUAUUUUCCAGACUAAUUCAAAAUGAUCAGGUACCUAGUGACUAGCAAAUGUGAGGUUCAGUUUGAAAUUUUGAAAAUAGUUAACACAUAAUAUAGAUAAAAACCUCAGAGUGGGAAGUAAAUUACCCCACUAGCUUUUUAGUAAUAAACUUGUUAGAGCAGGGAAUUCAUCUAAUUAUUGUUCCUGUAUCAUUUUGUAAAUGUCUCAUUGUUACAUAUCCCCCUGUUCAGAAUAUUGUUAAGUGCUGCGGAAUACAUUGGCACUAUAUAAA